CCCGCCGGCCGCCCGACGCGUAUCCACCAGCUGUGGCGUAUAGGUAUGGCCGGCUGAGAGACCGGCCGACCGAGUUUGGUUGUUCAUCGGGUGUCCGUGUUUUGGCAACUGCUGAUUAUUAGCAUAGGUUUGCAGCCAAUUGUUCGGCCUAAUUGUGUCUUAAUCGUACACUGGCUGAUGCUGAAAGGGAGUACUGCACAUUGCAGGGCAUUCUCUCCCAAAAAAUCGUCCCAAAUUAUCCAGACUCCUCCAAUUUGGGUACCUCAUGCGUCGCUGAGAUCGUGAAAGCAAGACCCUUUCUUCUAAAAAUUGCUGUUUUGUUGUCAAUUAACGGAAAGCGACAAAUUUUGAACGAUUUAGGAGGCUACCGAAGGGGUGAAUGCACUAGAUACCCCCUCCCUGUGAGAUAAUCAGAUAUUUUUGCAAUCGAUUUAUCACACAUUUCACUGUACUUUGACGGCGCGUAUUCUGAAGCGGCCCGGUCGGCGGCGACCUAUCAGGGGGCCGCCCGGUCACCGCUCCGCCAAUCAGGUGGCCGCUUAUUCUGACCAAUCAGCGGCCGCCCCCGGUCGGCCCACAGCCGCCUGACCUCGAAAUGGGCAACGGAGCGGAGACGUCACGUGCAUUGUUUACGUUCAUUGACCCGGCGGGCUAUCAACGAUGGAAUUUUUCUGUUUUGAUAUUCCAUGACUGACUGAAGAGUCGUGAUAGAAUCAAAUACGAGCAACAAGCUAACCUUCAUAAGCGUGCCUGCAAUUUAUAGGGCCGGAAAGUGUUUGGAGCUGUUCGGACACUGGCGUCAGCGGCGGCAGCGACUGAUGACCGGUCCGGCGGCGCGCGCAGCAUAUCUCGGGUCAGGGCGGCGACGUCCCAUCGAGACCGGGCGGAGCUAAGGAUGGUGCCGCGGCUCUGGGGGCGGCGGCGCCAGACUCGGCCGUGCCCGCUGGCUCACUGGCCGGCGCCGCGGGCCGCUGAGCCAGCCGGAGCUCAGCGGUUCACCUCAGCAGGCUGCUGCGGACGGCCGUCGCCCCCUCGCCGCCAGUGCCGUCCAAGUUUGUCUGCAAUGAGAUACGGGAACAGACUACGAGAGCGCCCUAGAGGGCGGCACCGGCGCACUGGCGGCCCGGCGGGUGGAGUACGGCGCUGGCAGCGCCGGGCCGCCGCCGGCCACGGCCGCUCGCCCACGCCGCCGUCCCGGUUCGAGUCGCCGACGGGGGCCGGUCCCAGCCGGCUGACGGGGGUCGCUCCAGACGGAGCCCGACUGUGAGCCGGGGCGGGCUCCGUGCGGCAGACGACCAGCCCGAGCAGCCGGCUGAGCCGGCGGACCACCGCCGCCGCCAGGAUCCCCUCGCCAACGCCUCCGCGGCCCCCAUCGACGACCUCUAGCCAGCUGUGCCAGCAGGUCCAGCGGCAGCAGCAGCAGCUGCAGCAGCGGAGCGCGGCGGAGAGCCAGCUCAUCGAAGCGACGG